GUGUCAGCAGCCGCGGUAACACGUAGGGGGCAAGCGUUGUCCGGAUUUAUUGGGCGUAAAGAGCUCGUAGGUGGUUCAGUAAGUCGGGUGUGAAACCUCCAGGCUCAACCUGGAGACGCCACCCGAUACUGCUGUGACUAGAGUCCAGUAGGGGAGCAUGGAAUUCCUGGUGUAGCGGUGAAAUGCGCAGAUAUCAGGAGGAACACCAGUGGCGAAGGCGGUGCUCUGGGCUGGAACUGACACUGAGGAGCGAAAGCGUGGGGAGCGAACAGGAUUAGAUACCCUGGUAGUCCACGCCGUAAACGUUGGGUACUAGGUGUGGGGUCUUAUCAACGGAUUCCGUGCCGCAGCUAACGCAUUAAGUACCCCGCCUGGGGAGUACGGCCGCAAGGCUAAA
rnacentral:rRNA from 1 species